rnacentral:rRNA from 1 species
GAAAUCCUACAGCUUAACUGUAGAACUGCACUUGAAACUUCUAACCUAGAGUAUGGGAGGGGCAGAUGGAAUUUAGUGGUGUAGGGGUAAAAUCCGUAGAUAUCACUAGGAAUACCUAAAGCGAAGGCGAUCUGCUGGAACAUAACUGACGCUAAGGCGUGAAAGCGUGGGGAGCAAACGGGAUUAGAUACCCCGGUAGUCCACGCCCUAAACGAUGAACACUAGUCGUCGUGAUGCUUGUCAUUGCGGUGAUGCACUUAACAGAUUAAGUGUUCCGCCUGGGGAGUACGGUCGCAAGAUUAAAACUCAAAGGAAUAGACGGGGACCCGCACAAGUGGUGGAGCAUGUGGUUUAAUUCGAAGAUACGCGAAGAACCUUACCUAGCCUUGACAUUGAUAGAAUACUGUAGAGAUACGGUAGUGCCCUUCGGGGAGCUUGAAAACAGGUGCUGCACGGCUGUCGUCAGCUCGUGUCGUGAGAUGUUGGGUUAAGUCCCGCAACGAGCGCAACCCUCGUUCUUAGUUGCUAGCAGGUUAAGCUGAGCACUCUAAGGAGACUGCCUUCGCAAGGAGGAGGAAGGUGAGGACGACGUCAAGUCAUCAUGGCCCUUACGGCUAGGGCUACACACGUGCUACAAUGGGGCGUACAGAGUGUUGCGAUACCGCGAGGUGGAGCCAAUCACUUAAAGCGUCUCUCAGUUCGGAUUGGAGUCUGCAACUCGACUCCAUGAAGCUGGAAUCACUAGUAAUCGUAGAUCAGCAAUGCUACGGUGAAUACGUUCCCGGGUCUUGUACUCACCGCCCGUCACACCAUGGGAGUUGAUUUCACCCGAAAUUGGGAAGCUAACCUUCGGGAGGCUACCACUUACGGUGGAAUUAGCGACUGGGGUGAAGUCGUAACAAGGUAACCA